rnacentral:rRNA from 1 species
UACGAAGGGGACUAGCGUUGUUCGGAUUUACUGGGCGUAAAGGGCGCGUAGGCGGCUUAACAAGUCACUUGUGAAAUCUCCGGGCUUAACUCGGAACGGCCAAGUGAAACUGUCAAGCUAGAGUGCAGAAGGGGCAAUCGGAAUUCUUGGUGUAGCGGUGAAAUGCGUAGAUAUCAAGAGGAACACCUGAGGUGAAGACGGGUUGCUGGGCUGACACUGACGCUGAGGCGCGAAAGCCAGGGGAGCAAACGGG